GAUGAACGCUGACAGAAUGCUUAACACAUGCAAGUCUACUUGAAGCUAGCUUCGGCUAGUGGAGGGUGGCGGACGGGUGAGUAACGCGUAAAGAACUUGCCUCACAGACUGGGACAACAUUUGGAAACGAAUGCUAAUACCGGAUAUUAUGAAUUUUCCGCAUGGAAGAGACAUGAAAGCUAUAUGCGCUGUGAGAGAGCUUUGCGUCCCAUUAGCUAGUUGGAGAGGUAACGGCUCACCAAGGCGAUGAUGGGUAGCCGGCCUGAGAGGGUGAACGGCCACAAGGGGACUGAGACACGGCCCUUACUCCUACGGGAGGCAGCAGUGGGGAAUAUUGGACAAUGGACCAAAAGUCUGAUCCAGCAAUUCUGUGUGCACGAUGAAGUUUUUCGGAAUGUAAAGUGCUUUCAGUUGGGAAGAAGCAAGUGACGGUACCAACAGAAGAAGCGACGGCUAAAUACGUGCCAGCAGCCGCGGUAAUACGUAUGUCGCAAGCGUUAUCCGGAUUUAUUGGGCGUAAAGCGCGUCUAGGUGGUUAUAUAAGUCUGAUGUGAAAAUGCGGGGCUCAACUCCGUAUUGCGUUGGAAACUGUAUGACUAGAGUACUGGAGAGGUAAGCGGAACUACAAGUGUAGAGGUGAAAUUCGUAGAUAUUUGUAGGAAUGCCGAUGGGGAAGCCAGCUUACUGGACAGAUACUGACGCUAAAGCGCGAAAGCGUGGGUAGCAAACAGG
rnacentral:rRNA from 1 species